GUGUGCGACCGUCAAUUUCUGGGCAUGUUUUUAAAAUCGAAUGGCCGGUGCUGUUAAGGACAAAAAAGUGUGACCCAGAGUUACCUGCUUACAGAGCACAGAUAUGCUGUUAACAUGGAAGAUGCACCCCACAACCCACCUCACAGGUAAACCACAGCGACAGAUGGUGAUGCAGCUACAUUGCUUCCAAGGCUCCCAGAAAACCUCCAGCUAAUGCUUGAAUCCCCUCCUGACAGAGUAAGACACUGAACCUCUCCUGGUCCCAAAACAUACACACCUGGUAACAGAAUCAAGGCUUCAUACAGGUGAACAACUAUAUAAUGACGCUAGGCAUAGCAACUGCUAGCAACUCAGAGAAGGGUUUCAGCUCUUAACACAUAAUAGAUUUUCAACACAUGAUGCUGAACUAAUCUCAGUUCCCUGUAAAAGAAUGUUAAUUAUCAGGCUCACUCCACCAACCACCCACCACCCAACGUAUUCCUGGUGAAACACCAUGCCGCAGUUUGGUGUUCUGAAAGUAGUGGUUCUUUCACAGUAGCUGGAAUAAAAUUUGCUUGGGAAAAUAGCCUGCUAUAAAUAAAGAUAUAAAGC